CGCGAUACCCCAAAACCUGCAGCCCCCCGUACGCACUUCCCGUCCAUCGCCUGCCGCCGGCCGAACUCAUCUCGUCGCCGCCGCCGGACACCAUGUCGAAACAAGGCGGGAAGCAGAAGCCGCUCAAGGCGCCCAAGGCUCAGAAGAAAGAGUAUGACGAGACGGAUCUGGAUAACCUGAAGAAGAAGAAAGACGAGGAGAAGGCUCUCAAGGAGCUGAGGGCUAAGGCUGCGCAGAAGGGGGCCCUCGGAGGCGCCGGCCUCAAGAAGAGCGGCAAGAAAUGAUCAUCUACUAUCUACUUAGUUUAGAAGCUUGUGAAGAAGCUUUCAAAAAAAAAAAAGAAGCUUGUGAAGAAAGUCCUGCUUUCCUUAAUUUUCCAUUUGUGAGUUCACAAUUAACCAGAGAUUAU